AAUUGGUUAUUUGUGAUCUCUAAAGACUUGCUUUCUUUUCAGGGAUAUUUCUCUGUAGCUCAAACUACAGUGGAAAGCCAAACUGUAAGAAAAUUACAGACUCUAGGACAGCCUGUUUCAAUUUUUAUGGAAAAUAAAUAUGGAACUUUAGCAGCUUUGGGAUUCAAAGCAGGGAACUUGUUAAAAAUCACUGAAAUGUAAACUAACCAUCUCUGAUGGUUUUAAAAGCAAUUACUCUGAAAUUCUGGAUAAAUGCCGUUCUAUUUGUGCCUGCUACCUCAUUUCCAUCUGCAGCACUGCCAGACCAGCUUUGAAAAACAGUCCUGAACACAGACACAGCGGAGUAGUUCAGUGUGAUGGACAAGUGCAUCCCACACCAAGUUCUCAGUGUAUUUGUGAAACUUGUGAUCACUGUCUGGUGACCUCCUGCACAUCAGAAGGCCUGUGAUUUAGCAAAUGCACGUGGAUUUCUCAGCUGUUCUGGAAGGUCCCAGCUAAGCUGGCAAAUUAAAAUUGGAGUUCUUCCUUGUGCAGCAGGACAAACCAAGAUUUUUAAGCUUAUCAGAAUUUUCUGGGUCAUCGUGACACAUAGAAGGAUUUUGUUCAGCUCUGACCAGCUUUGCUCCAGAACAGGUUUCAAACUGACCCAAAUUCAGGGAAGAUCAGUGGAGCAGUGAGAUUGUCUUGCCCAAAGAGAGAGAAAGGGCCUGAUCUCCAGUUCAGCUCCGGCAAGAACUGAAAGGAUCAUCUUUGCAAGGUUUUUUCUCAAUAGAGCUGUGUGGAUGUGGGGAUAUUGGAGGAGCUCUCCCCUUCGCUGAAUGAUUGAGGACUGUGAGCCCAGAAUGUGAAGGACACCUGCUCCAGCAGGAAUAGCUGGGAUCAAAAUCCAAGCUGUAGAGGCUGAAACAGAAGUAAUCAAAUCUCAUUUGUCAAGGCUGGUUUCUUAUUUUGAGCAGCUGAGGGGACUAUUUUUUUCCUGCAGCUUAGCAGGUGUGUUGAAGGACUUUCAUUUUGUGAGUUGUAUGGUAGAGGACAGAGACAGGACACCAGACUGGACUAAUGAAUAUUCUGAACCAUUUUGGAAAUCCCAUUCCUUCUUUAUUCCUCUUUAUUGAUUAUUUCCAGCAAUUUAUAGCUGCUUACAGCCUCAGAAGGCUUUAAUUGUUUGUGAU
rnacentral:lncRNA from 1 species